rnacentral:rRNA from 1 species
UUAAGUUAUUAAGGGCGCACGGUGGAUGCCUUGGCACUAGAAGCCGAUGAAGGACGUUACUAACGACGAUAUGCUUUGGGGAGCUGUAAGUAAGCUUUGAUCCAGAGAUUUCCGAAUGGGGAAACCCAGCAUGAGUUAUGUCAUGUUAUCGAUAUGUGAAUACAUAGCAUAUCAGAAGGCACACCCGGAGAACUGAAACAUCUUAGUACCCGGAGGAAGAGAAAGAAAAUUCGAUUCCCUUAGUAGCGGCGAGCGAAACGGGAAGAGCCCAAACCAACAAGCUUGCUUGUUGGGGUUGUAGGACACUCUAUACGGAGUUACAAAGGACGACAUUAGACGAAUCAUCUGGAAAGAUGAAUCAAAGAAGGUAAUAAUCCUGUAGUCGAAAAUGUUGUCUCUCUUGAGUGGAUCCUGAGUACGACGGAGCACGUGAAAUUCCGUCGGAAUCUGGGAGGACCAUCUCCUAAGGCUAAAUACUCUCUAGUGACCGAUAGUGAACCAGUACCGUGAGGGAAAGGUGAAAAGCACCCCGGAAGGGGAGUGAAAUAGAACCUGAAACCGUGUGCUUACAAGUAGUCAGAGCCCGUUAAUGGGUGAUGGCGUGCCUUUUGUAGAAUGAACCGGCGAGUUACGAUUUGAUGCAAGGUUAAGCAGUAAAUGUGGAGCCGUAGCGAAAGCGAGUCUGAAUAGGGCGUUUAGUAUUUGGUCGUAGACCCGAAACCAGGUGAUCUACCCUUGGUCAGGUUGAAGUUCAGGUAACACUGAAUGGAGGACCGAACCGACUUACGUUGAAAAGUGAGCGGAUGAACUGAGGGUAGCGGAGAAAUUCCAAUCGAACCUGGAGAUAGCUGGUUCUCUCCGAAAUAGCUUUAGGGCUAGCCUCAAGUGAUGAUUAUUGGAGGUAGAGCACUGUUUGGACGAGGGGCCCCUCUCGGGUUACCGAAUUCAGACAAACUCCGAAUGCCAAUUAAUUUAACUUGGGAGUCAGAACAUGGGUGAUAAGGUCCNUGUUCGAAAGGGAAACAGCCCAGACCACCAGCUAAGGUCCCAAAAUAUAUGUUAAGUGGAAAAGGAUGUGGCGUUGCCCAGACAACUAGGAUGUUGGCUUAGAAGCAGCCAUCAUUUAAAGAGUGCGUAAUAGCUCACUAGUCGAGUGACACUGCGCCGAAAAUGUACCGGGGCUAAACAUAUUACCGAAGCUGUGGAUUGUCCUUUGGACAAUGGUAGGAGAGCGUUCUAAGGGCGUUGAAGCAUGAUCGUAAGGACAUGUGGAGCGCUUAGAAGUGAGAAUGCCGGUGUGAGUAGCGAAAGACGGGUGAGAAUCCCGUCCACCGAUUGACUAAGGUUUCCAGAGGAAGGCUCGUCCGCUCUGGGUUAGUCGGGUCCUAAGCUGAGGCCGACAGGCGUAGGCGAUGGAUAACAGGUUGAUAUUCCUGUACCACCUAUAAUCGUUUUAAUCGAUGGGGGGACGCAGUAGGAUAGGCGAAGCGUGCGAUUGGAUUGCACGUCUAAGCAGUAAGGCUGAGUAUUAGGCAAAUCCGGUACUCGUUAAGGCUGAGCUGUGAUGGGGAGAAGACAUUGUGUCUUCGAGUCGUUGAUUUCACACUGCCGAGAAAAGCCUCUAGAUAGAAAAUAGGUGCCCGUACCGCAAACCGACACAGGUAGUCAAGAUGAGAAUUCUAAGGUGAGCGAGCGAACUCUCGUUAAGGAACUCGGCAAAAUGACCCCGUAACUUCGGGAGAAGGGGUGCUCUUUAGGGUUAACGCCCAGAAGAGCCGCAGUGAAUAGGCCCAAGCGACUGUUUAUCAAAAACACAGGUCUCUGCUAAACCGUAAGGUGAUGUAUAGGGGCUGACGCCUGCCCGGUGCUGGAAGGUUAAGAGGAGUGGUUAGCUUCUGCGAAGCUACGAAUCGAAGCCCCAGUAAACGGCGGCCGUAACUAUAACGGUCCUAAGGUAGCGAAAUUCCUUGUCGGGUAAGUUCCGACCCGCACGAAAGGCGUAACGAUUUGGGCACUGUCUCAACGAGAGACUCGGUGAAAUCAUAGUACCUGUGAAGAUGCAGGUUACCCGCGACAGGACGGAAAGACCCCGUGGAGCUUUACUGUAGCCUGAUAUUGAAAUUCGGCACAGCUUGUACAGGAUAGGUAGGAGCCUUUGAAACGUGAGCGCUAGCUUACGUGGAGGCGCUGGUGGGAUACUACCCUAGCUGUGUUGGCUUUCUAACCCGCACCACUUAUCGUGGUGGGAGACAGUGUCAGGCGGGCAGUUUGACUGGGGCGGUCGCCUCCUAAAAGGUAACGGAGGCGCUCAAAGGUUCCCUCAGAAUGGUUGGAAAUCAUUCAUAGAGUGUAAAGGCAUAAGGGAGCUUGACUGCGAGACCUACAAGUCGAGCAGGGUCGAAAGACGGACUUAGUGAUCCGGUGGUUCCGCAUGGAAGGGCCAUCGCUCAACGGAUAAAAGCUACCCCGGGGAUAACAGGCUUAUCUCCCCCAAGAGUUCACAUCGACGGGGAGGUUUGGCACCUCGAUGUCGGCUCAUCGCAUCCUGGGGCUGUAGUCGGUCCCAAGGGUUGGGCUGUUCGCCCAUUAAAGCGGUACGCGAGCUGGGUUCAGAACGUCGUGAGACAGUUCGGUCCCUAUCCGUCGUGGGCGUAGGAAAUUUGAGAGGAGCUGUCCUUAGUACGAGAGGACCGGGAUGGACAUACCUCUGGUGUACCAGUUGUCGUGCCAACGGCAUAGCUGGGUAGCUAUGUGUGGACGGGAUAAGUGCUGAAAGCAUCUAAGCAUGAAGCCCCCCUCAAGAUGAGAUUUCCCAACUUCGGUUAUAAGAUCCCUCAAAGAUGAUGAGGUUAAUAGGUUCGAGGUGGAAGCAUGGUGACAUGUGGAGCUGACGAAUACUAAUCGAUCGAAGACUUAAUCAA